rnacentral:lncRNA from 1 species
CGCGACGCCGCUCCGGGCCGGGCGGGGAGCUGCUCCGGGGGCGCCUGGCCUCCCCAGGCUUACAGAACUGGAAAAGGACAAAGCCGCAGUGCAGCCCGGUUCGCUAAUCGCGAAAGCGCCUCUUCGGGCCUCGCAGGGGUCUGCGGCCGCUUCCUUUGGCAGGAAAGGGACGCGCGCGGCCCUUCGGUUAAAGAGGAGUUCGUGUAAGCCCGGCAGCGGGCGCAGGACGGACGCUCCCCGCGGCCCCCGGCCUCGAUGUCCCCGCCGCCCUCACCUUGCGCUGGACUCGAUGCCGUCCCGAGCCAGCUCCAGCGCCGCGCCGCAGUCCGCUCGGUCAGCCACACUAGAUGAAAAUUACACUGCAGCACUAGCGCGAGUGUCCCUGAAGAUUCACAUCUUUAGGUGUUAAAGGAGUACAGAGAAAGCAGCUCUAUGUGCAUAGCCUACAGCCAAGGACUUGUAAGUUAAUGGUGCUAUGUUUAUCAUAAAAAAAGCAUUUUAAUAAACUCCAGUUCUAAAGGUUUAA